rnacentral:rRNA from 1 species
GCAUCGAUGAAGAACGCAGCCAGUUGCGAUAAGUAGUGUGAAUUGCAGAAUUCAGUGAAUCAUCGAAUCUUUGAACGCAAAUUGCGCUUUCUGGAUAUCCAGGGAGCAUGCCUGUCUGAGCGUCGUUUAAUAAUCUACACACUCUUGGUGUGGGUAGGGAGUUCAUUCAACUCAGCAAUGAGAUGACUGUCUCUUGAUGUUUCUGAACCUGGUAGUAUGCUUCUGUGUACUGCUUGGAAGGCUCAACUUGCUUCUGUCCUUCUAAAGCGUGUACUAAAGUUGUACUAAACAAGUUCUUCGAAGAUUUUCACAAAUUUUCAAAACCUGAUUUUUGACCUCAGAUCAGACAAGACUACCCGCUGAAUUUAAGCAUAUCAAUAAGCGGAGGAA